rnacentral:lncRNA from 1 species
CUUUUCUUCACAUGAGGGAGAAGUGUCAUCCCCAGAUCUGGGCAUCCACAAAGCAUGAGCUUUGUGGAAAUGUUUCCCUGGCCUGGGGCACAUAGAAGAAUGCAGUGACAGGGCGGGAUUUGUGUAAAUCCUCCAGUCCAUUUACAGACAGCAUGUUCUCCAUUUACCACGGAAUCCAGGAAGGAUCUGAAUAGAAGAGAAAUUAAGCUGAGGAGACACGAUCUGACUUCACUUCUGAUUUUGAGGAACAGUAAGAACACAAGUGACACUUUCUUGCUGACCAGGAGACCGGAGAUCAGGCAUGUGAUGAGCACCAGGAGUCCCACAAAGCAGGGUUCACUUGCAAUGGAAUUUCCUUCAGGAAGCCUUCACUGACUACUGUUCCCAAGUAUGGACUGGUUCAGAUAAAAUUAUUUAAAAUUUUCAAUUGUCUAUUCUUGUUAUU